UAUUGGUGAUAUGGGCAGUCCCUGAGAAGAGAUUUGAACCUCUCCCAAGCAUGAUAUAAGUUCUCAUCCGACUUCUGCUUAAAACUCAAAAUUUCAUUGCAUAACUU